rnacentral:rRNA from 1 species
UACAGAGGUCUCAAGCGUUGUUCGGAUUUAUUGGGCGUAAAGGGUGCGUAGGUGGCGCCGUAAGUCAGGCGUGAAAUCUCGGGGCUCAACCCCGAAACUGCAUUUGAUACUGCGGUGCUCGAGUACUGGAGAGGAGAUUGGAAUUUACGGUGUAGCAGUGAAAUGCGUAGAUAUCGUAAGGAAGACCAGUGGCGAAGGCGAAUCUCUGGACAGUUACUGACACUGAGGCACGAAGGCCAGGGGAGCAAACGGG